AUAUAUGCAUCAUUUUCUCCACAUCAUUUCACUUUCACCAGACUGGCUACACCAAAAUUUUUCUGUUUCCACCAAGUCCUAACCAAAACCUGGCCAGGUUUAACACUCUAAAAUCCCAUUUUAGAUCUGCCCACGAUGCCCAAAACCUCAAGGGCUCCUCUCUGCCUUCCUGCCCCGUCGAAGCGGAUCCUUGGAUUGCUCUGCCUGCUGAAAUCGUUAUUUCCAGCGGGGUAUCCCAAGGGAUUUGGUGCUCAGCAGCAGGUGAUGCUGCAAACCAGGGAGGAGCAGGACUGGGGAAUUCCCAGUGCCAGGGACACCAAAAUGUGAG